CUGAGGACCUGCUGGUGAAGGACGUCCCUCGUGGGGGGGCAAGGACAGCCGACCCUGAGGAUCCGCUCGGAUCUACGAUCGCUACGAUGCGACUGCAGAGGUCUCUGGAAGACCAGGAGUCCUUGCCUGAGGAGAGCUGAUGGAGGAGCCGUGCACCUGGAGAACCAUGAGUCUGCCUGCCA